UUCACUAAUACUGGAAUAUACCAGUGAGAAUCACAAUUAUCAAUUUCUCUAUUUCUUCUGAUAGCCACUGUUAAUGAUACCUUCUUCAGGGAUAAAUUUCACACUACCAGUUUUAACUACAAGAAAAACUGAAAAAUCAAGUAUCUGAAGAAUGGAUAACAACAUCGCUGGGAUCAGCUCACUGUAAUCUUUCUUAUCUCCUGGGCUGGAAACAGCUGCAGCUCUUAACUAGACUAACAUUCUGCUGCUGGGUACGAGGGUGGUCAGUCACUAGGUGCUGAGUAUCAACUAACAUUAUGCAUCAGGCUCCCUCACCUCGGCGGUGCAGUUCCUUCAGUUCCUCUCAGCCACCUAAGUCUUCCCCCAGACUCCAUCUCCACAUACUGUAUUGUCUAUAAUGUAGUGACUGGCUUUACAUGAAUGGUGGCAGACUACAGACACUGCUCUGCACUUCACUUUUUUUCUUUUAACAAAAUAACUUGUAGAGUUGUUCCAUUUUGAUAUAUGAUAAAGCCACCUCCUUUGUAUUAGGUGGUAUGUGAUAUCUACUUCUGGUGCUGACAAAUAACUGCCAUCCUUGGCCAUCUCAGUCAAACCACUGAAGAACCACUUCAGGAAAGAAGGGGAACCAUAAGUGAGAAGAGCUCUCAUGACACCAUCUGGUGAGACCAGGACAGUGCAAGGCCGGGAACCUGCGAGCAUCCUCAUUGCUGCUGGAGAAAAUCAAGGAAGGCUGAGUCAUCAAAGUCACUCACUCUCUUUAUGGCCAAAGGACAACUGUCCACGCAGGAGACACUCACAACCUGUCUGAUGACUAAACCAAAAAAUGAUCCAGAAGAGUCAGGUUUUCUAAGUGUGAGGUGUUAAUAAUGUCUACCAAUACACUUUGUUUCUAUGAUUAACUUUUAUAGUUCCAUAAGAGAUAAAUGAUCACAAGAGUUCUUUCAGUGAAAACAAAGUAAAAAUUCCAAGUCCAGUAUUGUACAUGUAUAAUACAUAUGGACACAGUGUGUA